GAUGAACGCUAGCGGCAGGCUUAACACAUGCAAGUCGAGGGGCAGCAUAUUUUGUAGUAAUACAAGAUGAUGGCGACCGGCGCACGGGUGCGUAACGCGUAUGCAACCUACCAUAUACAGGGGGAUAAACUUUCGAAAGGGAGCCUAAUACCCCAUAGUAUUAUUUUAAGGCAUCUUGCAAUAAUUAAAGAUUAAUUGGUAUAUGAUGGGCAUGCGUGUCAUUAGCUAGUUGGUAAGGUAACGGCUUACCAAGGCGACGAUGACUAGGGGUUCUGAGAGGGAGAUCCCACAGACUGGUACUGAGACACCGACCAGAGUCCUCCGGGAGGCAGCAGUGAGGAAUAUUGGUCAAUGGGCGAGAGCCUGAACCAGCCAUGCCGCGUGAAGGAAGACGGCCCUAUGGGUUGUAAACUGCUUUUAUGUGAGGAUAAACCUAUUCUUGCGAGAGUAGCUGAAGGUAUCACAUGAAUAAGGAUCGGCUAACUCCGUGCCAGCCGCCGCAGUAA
rnacentral:rRNA from 1 species